GGAAACGGUAAUUACUUCAUUAAAUGGGUCAAGUAUAGACUCAUAAUGGGACAUAGAGUCUAUAAUGUGUAACCAAACCACGUGAAUUUAGUUACCUUCCUGAACUAAUUGGCUGCUGGUUUAAACGCGAAAAAAGUCUACUUUCCCACGUUUAAAAGGAAGAGGUUGUUUCGUAACACAAAGUUAGAUUUGCUAUUACCUGAAACAACGCAGAAUGAAAACAAAACGUUUGAUCACACUCUAAUGUAUAUUUUGGAUCGAUAUAUGUGCCUUUAAACAUUUACAGCGAAAUUCACUCACCCAAAAAGCGUCCUUAAACCGGAGGCGAGUCAUACUGAGUGAGGAGGUUCUACAACCAACCUGGAAUGUUUGUUCAGAUCCAUUUUAAACUUAUUCAAAACUCAGCUUUGAAGGAGUGGCAGACUUGAGAAGUCCACAUUUACAACCCAGUGCAGCAUGUCCCACUCCAGAAAAUGAAGAAUUGCACGUUGUGAAAAUCACCACUAAAGUUAUGAAUACUGUGUCUGUGCAAGAACAUGAUCUGCCUGUAGCGUGAAGUAGCGUGAAAAAUCAUUUGCACAAGACUGAUGUCUCAGAGAAAGUUCCAGAGUAUUACAGAAUCACUUCAAAGAAGAUACAUAAUUCAAAAAUGAACUUGUUUCUGCAAAGAAAAUUAAGUCAACUUUAUUACUCGUUAUGAGUGAUAAUUAAACA